rnacentral:rRNA from 1 species
CUUGGUCAUUUAGAGGAAGUAAAAGUCGUAACAAGGUUUCCGUAGGUGAACCUGCGGAAGGAUCAUUAACAAAUUGUGUGUGCGCGGGGUGUGGUGUGUGUGCGCUUUAUACGCGCCGCAUAACUACCCCGUGUGACAUUAACCCGGAGCCAUUCGGCUCCGAUAUUCACGCUUGUUUGUAUGACAGAGUUAUCACGUGACAUGAAAUAUAUACAACUUUUAACAAUGGAUCUCUUGGCUCUUGCAACGAUGAAGAACGCAGUGAAAUGUGAAAAGUAAUGCGAUUUGCAUGAAUCUGUGAGUCAUCUAAUCUUUGAACGCACCUUGCACCCUCUCAUGGAGGGUAUACGUGUUUGAGAAUCGUAACAGUAUCUUGUCUCUAGUUCAGAGGCAGACUUGAGCGCCCAGAGCGCUUUAAAUGCAGUAGUGUAUCUCUGCGCGACUCGCUUGGUGGACACUGUGUGCUGGAGACCUUGGUGUCUACUCACGGUGCGUCCCCUUGCGUAUAUGCGCAGAAGCAAGUGCACUCGUAAAAGUACACAAUAUUAUGUAUGUGUACAAACAAACAAACUAACUGAUCUCAAAUCACGUAAGACUACCCGCCGAACUUAAGCAUAUCAGUAAGCGGAGGAAAAGAAACUAACAAGGAUUCCCCUAGUAGCAGCGAGUGAAGCGGGAAGAGCUCAAAUUUAAAAUCUGGCAGGUCUCCUGUCCGAAUUGUAAUUUAAAGAGGCGCUAUCUGGCCAUGGUUUGGUGUUCAAGUCUCUUGGAAUAGAGCAUCACAGAGGGUGAGAAUCCCGUUUGGACACUGUUCCGUGGCCUAUAUGAGGCGCUUUCUAAGAGUCGAGUUGUUUGGGAAUGCAGCUCAAAAUGGGUGGUAAAUCUCAUCUAAGGCUAAAUACUGGCAAGAGACCGAUAGCGAACAAGUACCGUGAGGGAAAGAUGAAAAGCACCUUGAAAAGGGAGUUAAAUGGCGCGUGAAAUUGUUAAAAGGGAAACGAUUGGGACCAGUAUUGCUGCUUGCAGCGAGUCAGCGUUGGUUUGCUUUGCUUGAUAAUGCACCGGAGGAAGGUGGUGUCGGUCUUCGGGCUGGCAUUUUAUAGACUCUGUGCAACCGAGUGGAGCGGACCGAGCCUAGCGGUCAAUUCACCGCUUGUAGUACCGCGUGCCGGCUACUUGCGCGUUGAUGCUGUGCUGACGAAAUGGUCUUAAACGACCCGUCUUGAAACACGGACC